rnacentral:tRNA from 1 species
UGGCUCAGUAGGUAGAGCAUGGUGUGUGCAACGCCAGGGUUGUGGGUUCGAUUCCCAC